GACAGAGGGGGCAAGCGUUGCUCGGAAUUACUGGGCGUAAAGGGCUCGUAGGCGGCCAACUAAGUCAUACGUGAAAUCCCUCAGCUUAACUGGGGAACUGCGUGUGAUACUGGAUGGCUUGGAUUUGGGAGAGGGAUGCGGAAUUCCAGGUGUAGCGGUGAAAUGCGUAGAUAUCUGGAGGAACACCGGUGGCGAAGGCGGCAUCCUGGACCAAUAUUGACGCUGAGGAGCGAAAGCCAGGGGAGCAAACGGG
rnacentral:rRNA from 1 species